GAUGAACGCUGGCGGCGUGCCUAAUACAUGCAAGUCGAGCGAACGGACGAGAAGCUUGCUUCUCUGAUGUUAGCGGCGGACGGGUGAGUAACACGUGGAUAACCUACCUAUAAGACUGGGAUAACUUCGGGAAACCGGAGCUAAUACCGGAUAAUAUUUUGAACCGCAUGGUUCAAAAGUGAAAGACGGUCUUGCUGUCACUUAUAGAUGGAUCCGCGCUGCAUUAGCUAGUUGGUAAGGUAACGGCUUACCAAGGCAACGAUGCAUAGCCGACCUGAGAGGGUGAUCGGCCACACUGGAACUGAGACACGGUCCAGACUCCUACGGGAGGCAGCAGUAGGGAAUCUUCCGCAAUGGGCGAAAGCCUGACGGAGCAACGCCGCGUGAGUGAUGAAGGUCUUCGGAUCGUAAAACUCUGUUAUUAGGGAAGAACAUAUGUGUAAGUAACUGUGCACAUCUUGACGGUACCUAAUCAGAAAGCCACGGCUAACUACGUGCCAGCAGCCGCGGUAAUACGUAGGUGGCAAGCGUUAUCCGGAAUUAUUGGGCGUAAAGCGCGCGUAGGCGGUUUUUUAAGUCUGAUGUGAAAGCCCACGGCUCAACCGUGGAGGGUCAUUGGAAACUGGAAAACUUGAGUGCAGAAGAGGAAAGUGGAAUUCCAUGUGUAGCGGUGAAAUGCGCAGAGAUAUGGAGGAACACCAGUGGCGAAGGCGACUUUCUGGUCUGUAACUGACGCUGAUGUGCGAGAGCGUGGGGAUCAAACAGGAUUAGAUACCCUGGUAGUCCACGCCGUAAACGAUGAGUGCUAAGUGUUAGGGGGUUUCCGCCCCUUAGUGCUGCAGCUAACGCAUUAAGCACUCCGCCUGGGGAGUACGACCGCAAGGUUGAAACUCAAAGGAAUUGACGGGGACCCGCACAAGCGGUGGAGCAUGUGGUUUAAUUCGAAGCAACGCGAAGAACCUUACCAAAUCUUGACAUCCUUUGACAACUCUAGAGAUAGAGCCUUCCCCUUCGGGGGACAAAGUGACAGGUGGUGCAUGGUUGUCGUCAGCUCGUGUCGUGAGAUGUUGGGUUAAGUCCCGCAACGAGCGCAACCCUUAAGCUUAGUUGCCAUCAUUAAGUUGGGCACUCUAAGUUGACUGCCGGUGACAAACCGGAGGAAGGUGGGGAUGACGUCAAAUCAUCAUGCCCCUUAUGAUUUGGGCUACACACGUGCUACAAUGGACAAUACAAAGGGCAGCGAAACCGCGAGGUCAAGCAAAUCCCAUAAAGUUGUUCUCAGUUCGGAUUGUAGUCUGCAACUCGACUACAUGAAGCUGGAAUCGCUAGUAAUCGUAGAUCAGCAUGCUACGGUGAAUACGUUCCCGGGUCU
rnacentral:rRNA from 1 species